rnacentral:rRNA from 1 species
ACCUGGUUGAUCCUACCAGUAUAUCAUAUGCUUGUCUCUAAGCUUAAGCCAUGCAUGUCUAGGUCCAAACAAUAAAGUGUGAGACUGCGAAAGGCUCAGUAAAUCAGCUAUAAUCUAUUUGAUUGUAUAACCCAGUGGAUAACCGUGGGAAAUCUAGAGCUAAUACAUGCAGUAACACUGUACGGCGCCGCAAGGUUACGUACAGUAGCAUUUAUUGGAAAUACCAACUUUGUUGUGUCGGGUUAACCCCUGAUGCAUCCAAAUAGGUGAAUCUGGAUAACUGUGCUGAUCGUAUGGCCAUGAGCUGACGACGUUUCAAUUGAAUUUCUGCCCUAUCAACUUGUUGGUAAGGUAGAGGCUUACCAAGGUUGCAACGGGUAACGGGGAAUCAGGGUUCGAUUCCGGAGAGGGAGCCUGAGAAAUGGCUACCACAUCCAAGGGAGGCAGCAGGCGCGCAAAUUACCCAAUCCACAAUGUGGGAGGUGGUGACGAGAAAUACUAGGUCGUUUUCCCUAAGGGAAUGCGAUACUGGAAUGAGCACAAUUUAGAACAUUUGUCGAGUAACAACUGAAGGGCAAGUCUGGUGCCAGCAGCCGCGGUAAUUCCAGCUUCAGUAGUGUAUAUUAAUGCUGCUGCGGUUAAAACGCUCGUAGUUGAAUGACGAAGCACGGGACAGUACUUUGUCAGUGUGCUACAUUAAACCAUGUCGGUGGGUUGUUACGUAAACUACGUUUACGCCAGCAGCUCAUUGGUAUGGCGUAACACCUGUCAAUUAACAGCUGUUCCGGGCUACUAGAAUGUGAGAAUGAUGAAUGGUCUUCAUCGGCCGCUCAUCGUGUCUCGCAGAGUGUGCCUUGAAUAAACCAGAGUGCUCAAAGCAGGCAUGUUGCUUGAAUGUUAAUAGCAUGGAACGAACAAAUGUGAUUUACGUACAUUGAUAAGUGGUGUCGGGUGAUUAUAUUGUCCGGUACUAACUGUCGGUGUACAGCACCAACCCACAAGACGGAUGUUGGUUUCCGUGUUGGGGUGAUGAUUAAAAGGGGCGGUUGGGGGCAUUGGUAUUUGGCCGCGAGAGGUGAAAUUCUUGGACCGGCCAAGGACUGACAAAUGCGAAGGCAUCUGCCAAGACCGUUCCCGUUGAUCAAGAGCGAUAGUGAGAGGUUCGAAGACGAUCAGAUACCGUCCUAGUUCUCACCGUAAACUAUGCCAACCCGGGAUCAGUUUUGAGCUAUAUAUAUUAACGCUCGUGGUUGGUCCCCCUGGGAAACCUUAAGUUUUUAGGUUCCGGGGGGAGUAUGGUUGCAAGGCUGAAACUUAAAGGAAUUGACGGAAGGGCACCACCAGGAGUGGAGCCUGCGGCUUAAUUUGACUCAACACGGGAAAACUCACCUGGUCCGGACAUCGAUAGGAUAGACAGACUGAUAGAUCUUUCUUGAUACGGUGUAUGGUGGUGCAUGGCCGUUCUUAGUUCGUGAAGUGAUUUGUCAGGUUUAUUCCGGUAACGAACGAGACCACAUUCUCCAUUUAUGGAGCAGAUGCAGCAAAUGCCGAGUGCUGUAGCGUGCAAGCGUUGCAGUGCAGAGUAUUUUGGUAAAAACGUUGUGCGCAGGAUGUAUAUGCUGUGUGCCUGUAACAGGGUGGCAUGGUGUAGUAAACUGUGUGUCGACUAGAUUCCCAUCUGCCAAGCACUGUGCAGCCUUAAAAACUGUGCAGUGUGCUAUGGAGAGACAACCGGGUAUAUUCAAAGCCGGAGGAAGUAUGGCAAUAACAGGUCUGUGAUGCCCUUAGAUGUUCGGGGCCGCACGCGCGCUACAAUGAUAACAACAGAAUGUUUCUGUACCGAAAGGUAUGGAUAAUCCCAAAUUGUUAUCGUAAUGGGGAUAGAUCUUUGUAAUUAUCGAUCUUGAAAGAGGAAUUCCUAGUAUGUGCUUGGAAUCAGCAAGUAUAGAUUGCGUCCCUGCCCUUUGUACACACCGCCCGUCGCUACUACCGAGUGAAUGGUGUCAUGAUGCUUUGUGACCGGACGUUGUAGAUGGCCUCACCGCUGUCGAACGAUGCUGGAAUCAAUGUAAAAUGGCGCAAUUUCGAGGAAGUAAAAGUCGUAACAAGGUUUCCGUAGGUGAACCUGCAGAAGGAUCA